GACGAACGCUGGCGGCGUGCUUAACACAUGCAAGUCGAACGGAAAGUGCUCAGCUUGCUGGGUGACUCGAGUGGCGAACGGGUGAGUAACACGUGGGUGAUCUGCCCUGCACUUUGGGAUAAGCCUGGGAAACUGGGUCUAAUACCGAAUAUUCCUUGCUGGUCGCAUGGCCUGGUGGGGGAAAGCUUUUGCGGUGUGGGAUGGGCCCGCGGCCUAUCAGCUUGUUGGUGGGGUGAUGGCCUACCAAGGCGACGACGGGUAGCCGGCCUGAGAGGGUGUCCGGCCACACUGGGACUGAGAUACGGCCCAGACUCCUACGGGAGGCAGCAGUGGGGAAUAUUGCACGAUGGGCGCAAGCCUGAUGCAGCGACGCCGCGUGAGGGAUGACGGCCUUCGGGUUGUAAACCUCUUUCAAUAGGGACGAAGCGUAAGUGACGGUACCUAUAGAAGAAGCACCGGCCAACUACGUGCCAGCAGCCGCGGUAA
rnacentral:rRNA from 1 species